AACGAACGCUGGCGGCAGGCUUAACACAUGCAAGUCGAACGCCCCGCAAGGGGAGUGGCAGACGGGUGAGUAACGCGUGGGAACGUGCCCUUCGCUUCGGAAUAGCCCCGGGAAACUGGGAGUAAUACCGAAUACGCCGUAUUGGGAAAGAUUUAUCGGCGAAGGAUCGGCCCGCGUUAGAUUAGCUAGUUGGCGGUGUAAUGGACCACCAAGGCUACGAUCUAUAGCUGGUCUGAGAGGAUGAUCAGCCACACUGGGACUGAGACACGGCCCAGACUCCUACGGGAGGCAGCAGUGGGGAUUCUUGGACAAUGGGCGCAAGCCUGAUCCAGCCAUGCCGCGUGAGUGAAGAAGGCCUUAGGGUUGUAAAACUCUUUCGCCGGAGAAGAUAAUGACGGUAUCCGGAGAAGAAGCCCCGGCUAACUUCGUGCCAGCAGCCGCCGUAACAC
rnacentral:rRNA from 1 species